rnacentral:lncRNA from 1 species
AAACCUGAAAUGAGUGAAUUAUUACAGUGGAGCUUAUAGGAAGCUCUGAGCUUUCAGACAGCCAGUUUAAAAGAGAAACAUGCUCGACUGUAUAGUUCUCAUCAGCCAGUAAAGGAAAGUGUUUAAAUUCAUCUGGAAAUGCAAACUCAUUCUUAGAACUUAAUCCUAGAAAUAAUUUAUCAUGUAGACACUUAAAUAAGAGAAAGAAGAGGAUGUUUGAUGAGUUUUGUAAAAGCUACGCACAUCUUAUUUGUGGACUAAUCUAUAAAGGUAACCACUACCACAAUACUCUAUGUGAAAAGGAGAGGGGGGAAAAAUAGAGUAAUUAUGAACAUAUACGCUCCCACACAAGCAAGAAAAUAUACAUGUUGACCACACCCCUGUUUUUGCAUCUGAUUAUGAGGCUGGGUGUAUAACUUCCUUAAUGUAGUUUCAGUAAGGAGGCGAGGGUGGCGGAGGAGGGUAGACAGAGGUUCUACCGCAGCUUCUUCCCAAUAAUCUCUGGACACUGGUGAUCUGUCCUGGACCGAAACACACUGUAUGUUGGUUAUUGACUUGGAGCAUAGACCAUUUUCUCUAGACCAGUACCUGCACUUCAUAAGAUGUCCUCCGGCUGGCUCUGCAACUGAGUCUUCAACGGACUGUUGCACUACUCUACAAGGCCAGCUGCUCCUGGGUUAUGGUAAAACGGAUGAAUCCUGUGGGAAUCCAGUAAGGUCCUUGGCCAGAAGCAAUGUUAUAUGGAUUGCUGUGGGUGAAAUAAGCUUUCAGUAAGUCCACAGAAGGUAUUGCUAGUAGAAACAUAGCAGGGAAGUGAAAUCUGUAUGUGGAAGAUCUAUCCAUGCUAGUGAGAAAAAGUGCUACCAAGCCCACCGUGAAAGAGGUUCAGUAUGAUCAGUAAACAGGAGGCUGGCCACGCCACUCCCACUCCCCACACUUGGAGCUGCGUGGACGGCUUGGCAGGGGUCUCUGCCGCUGGCAUUUUAAGUAUUCAGUAGCCAGAUCUGUCUUGUUAAGGAGUUUUAUGGUGGAGCCCAAGGAUAACCUCCAUCUCUGUCACCAUGGCCACUUUGUUUUUGAACCUCCUGAGGAAUAGCAGUGAUUCUGGAGAAGGAGGACAGCUGACAUUUGUAGUACUGAUCUUCCCAAGCCUCUGAUUGUUGAGUCUCCUCUGUAGUGAGAGCCCUUUGCUGAGCAUUCCCAUGGGGCACAGUACUCUCACACCAUGAGCCUAUUUUGAGAGGCCCAUGCAAGUACCUCCACCCUAAAUCUCCUCGUCAUCCAGUCUUGUUCCUGCCAGCUUGCUCGUCAUCAACACAAACCCUUAGGAUCCAUGUAUAAAUAUUCACUAUGGUGAUCUUCCUUUCUCAGCAAAAUGUGCGAUUAGAUGUACUUCUCAAAGUUCUGGUUAUUGUGAAGAUUUAUCCUACUUGUCCUUCAUGGCCCACAGUGUGGAGAACUCUAAUGCUGCAUCAAUUUAUUUAUGGGUGGUGCCAGUAUAUUGUGUAGAAUCAUUAGUAAAUUAGUCUUGAACCAUUUCUUCCCUGUCCAUGGGGAAACCCCCUAUAGGUGUGGGUUCAAGGAGAGGUGGCAUUGUGGCAGGAUUCAGUGCCACGAGAGUUGGAGCCACUUGCUGGUGAAAGUUUCCAGUGUCUCUUGAACUUGGUUGCAGGUGAUUUUGUACAUGUCACUUCAGCUUGAUGAUGGAGAGCUGCUCUGCACAUCCAAAUUUAACAGCAGGUCCACCAAAAACAUCUAAUUUGGAGGCACAGCUCAGGACUCACAAUCAGUUCAUUUCCCAUGGCCAGUCUCUAUCAGAACCUAGCAGCAAAAACCAGGAGAUAUUUCUCAAGGAAAGUGUUGUUUGUCAAGGAGGUAUUGCUCUCAAUUCCAGGGGCUGUGCUACUAUUGUCUUAUUUGGAAAUUCCAUUGACUCAGUGGUCUGCCCCAGAAUGUUGUGUACAUUAGAUUUCCUGGAUCACAAGAUCAAGGGGCAAGAGUUGCUAUUCUUUAAACUGGCUGGAAAUUCCCUGAUAGCCUGACAGUUAAGGAUCUGGCACAUUGUCACUGCUGUAGCUUGGUUUCUGUCCCUGGCACAGUAAUUUCUAUAUGCCUUAAGUGUGGCAAAAAGCAAAUAAACAAAACCGAACUGGCUGAAGAAUAUUUUUUGCUUUGGGCCUUCCCUAAGCCUUCCAUAAGCCUUAUGGUUUAUUCAGUAAGUAGGAAGAAGCAACAGCAGGUAAUAUUAUUUUUCCUCUUUUAUACUAACAUCCCACCAAAUGCGUGUGCCUCUUUGUGCAACUGGAUACAGUGUGCAAUAAAUUGUCUUUUAGUUUGGAAGGGAUAUCUCAGUAUAUCCCAGAUCCCUAGGCUUCCAGAAACAUCAGUGAAUUAGUAGAUCUCUGAACUCUCAUGGAAUUUAUCUCUUAUCCUCAGUUAUAUAUGUGUCUCAUGUAUUUUCUACUUUCUAAGUUGUGCUAACCAAUGCCACCUUUUGGAAUAGCACAAUGAAUCUGGAAUCUCUGAUACAUGUACCCAUGUUAACAUUUUGACCCAAGGAAGCUCAUGAGGUUGCGGGUUCGGUCCCUGCCCUUGCUCAGUGGGUUAACGAUUCGGCGUUGCCGUGAGCUGUGGUGUAGGUUGCAGACGCGGCUCACAUCCCACGUUGCUGUGGCUCUGGCGUAGGCUGGUGGCUACAACUCCGAUUCAACCCCUAGCCUGGGAACCUCCAUAUGCCGCGGGAGCGGCCCAAGAAAUAGCAACAACAACAACAA